rnacentral:rRNA from 1 species
UACGUAGGGGGCAAGCGUUGUCCGGAUUUAUUGGGCGUAAAGAGCGUGUAGGCGGUUUGGUAGGUCCGCUGUGAAAACUCGAGCUCAACCUCGAGACGCCGGUGGAAACCAUCAGACUAGAGUCCGGAAGAGGAGAGUGGAAUUCCUGGUGUAGCGGUGAAAUGCGCAGAUAUCAGGAAGAACACCGUGGCUAAGGCGGCUCUCUAGUACGGUACUGACGCUGAGACGCGAAAGCGUGGGAGCGAACAGG